GUGUGAAGAUGACCUUGCUUACAUUAGAGUCGCGUGGUUGCAUGAAGGAGCAGUUCUUCAGAAACAGACAGCAUUCAGGACUGCAAGUUCCUUUCUCUUGGAAAUGGGGAAGUAGGAUGGGAGCCACAGGGACAGAUUCAGAGGAGAGGCAGAGAAAGGGAACUACAGAAGCCCACAGAGAUCUCCCACAGGAUGAGUGGGAAAAAUCAGAGGCACAUCAUUGUCUGUCUGUAAAUAAAUGAUUGAAGGUCACAGGGGAUCACAGAAAGGAAUGGAAAUCCUAAUAUUUGGAGCCAAUAUCUGGAAGUGCUUUCUUCAAGUCUCUUCACGUAUAUUUUAGGUGCCUGCUUUCCCCCGGCCCCUUAUUCAUGGCAAUUUCUUAAAUGGUUAGUGGUUCAAACCUCAAUAAUACAGCCCCUGUGCCUGGGAAAUGCUAUGACUUUUUCUGUCUCAAUGAGAUAAUACAGAGAUUUGCCUCUAAAAUAGAGAUUUUUCUCUUCUGUUACACUUCUGUACUUUUGACGCUUGCUCGGUCUCUGUGGCUUGUACAUUAAAGUUAUGUAAACAUAGUAACACUUUAAAUUAAGGUGAUAUUUAUAAAUAUUUUAUUAUUUGUACAGCAUUCAAUAACGUGCUUGUAAAAAAAAAAAAAAAAAAAACAACUUGAAAUUAUGCAUUGAAACAGCAGACAAACUAUUUAAACAAU